AACGAACGCUGGCGGCAUGCCUAACACAUGCAAGUCGAACGAGACCUUCGGGUCUAGUGGCGCACGGGUGCGUAACGCGUGGGAACCUGCCCUUAGGUUCGGAAUAACUCCCCGAAAGGGGUGCUAAUACCGGAUAAUGUCUUCGGACCAAAGAUUUAUCGCCUUUGGAUGGGCCCGCGUUGGAUUAGCUAGUUGGUAGGGUAAAAGCCUACCAAGGCGACGAUCCUUAGCUGGUCUGAGAGGAUGAUCAGCCACACUGGGACUGAGACACGGCCCAGACUCCUACGGGAGGCAGCAGUGGGGAAUAUUGGACAAUGGGCGAAGGCCUGAUCCAGCAAUGCCGCGUGAGUGAUGAAGGCCUUAGGGUUGUAAAGCUCUUUUACCCGGGAUGAUAAUGACAGUACCGGGAGAAUAAGCUCCGGCUAACUCCGUG
rnacentral:rRNA from 1 species